rnacentral:rRNA from 1 species
AAUAGAUACCCUGGUAGUCCACGCCCUAAACGAUGCGCACUAGAUCCAGGAGGCUCUGACGCCAUCUGGAUCGAAGCAAAAGUGCAAGUGCGCCGCCUGGGGAGUACGGUCGCAAGGCUAAAACUCAAAGGAAUUGACGGGGGCUCACACAAGCGGUGGAGCAUGUGGCUUAAUUCGAAGCAACGCGAAGAACCUUAUCCAAGACUUGACAUGUACGGAUUAGCUCGAUGAAAGUCGAGUGACGCGGUUUCCGUGGAACGUACACAGGUGCUGCAUGGCUGUCGUCAGCUCGUGCUGUGAAGUGUCGGGUUAAGUCCCUUAACGAGCGAAACCCCUAUCACUAGUUGCUACCAGGUUAUGCUGAGGACUCUAGUGAGACUGCCGGUGUCAAACCGGAGGAAGGUGGGGAUGACGUCAAGUCCUCAUGGCCUUUAUGUCUUGGGCUGCACACGUGCUACAAUGGCAAUUACAAAGCGACGCAAGGCCGCAAGGCGGAGCAAAAUCGCAA